rnacentral:rRNA from 1 species
AUGGAGCUCAUCCAUGUUGAUGGCAAGGGGAACUACACAGUGGCGGAGCGCGUGCAGCGCGCCAUGGCCAGCAGCCGGCAGCGCCUGACGUCCUUUGUCGACGUGAGCGCACCGGUCCACUGGAACACCAGCCAGUACAUUGCCGAGUACCUGAUCGGCAACCCACCGCAGCGCGCCGAGGCCCUCAUCGACACCGGUAGCGACCUCAUCUGGACGCAGUGCUCCACCUGCAGCCUCAAAGGAUCCUGCGUCAUGCAAGGCCUGCCCUACUAUAACGCGUCCAAGUCGGACAGCUUCCACCCCGUGCCAUGCAACGACACCUUGUGCCUAGCCAACCGGGCGCACUCGUGCCGCCAGGAUGGCAGCUGCGCUUUCGGGGCCUUCUACGGCGUUGGCGACGCUAGAGGGUCUAUCGGCACGGAGGUCUUCGCCUUUGAACAUGGUUCGGUGACGCUCACGUUCGGCUGCGUCGACACGCUGCAGUUCACUCCGGGGUCCCUUGACGGGUCGUCGGGCCUCAUAGGGCUUGGCCGUGGCCCCUUGUCGCUCGUCUCUCAGAUAGGUGCCAGCAAGUUCUCUUACUGCCACACCCCCUACCUCCGCAGCAACGUUACUCCCGGUGCCAGGAGUCACCUUUUCGUCGGCGCCUCGGCGAGCCUUAGCGGCGGCAGCCCUGUGAUGUCCAUGUCUUUCGUGCAAGGCCCUAAAAAGUACCCAUUCUACUAUGUCCCACUCAUCGGGAUAAGCGUUGGACAAACAAGGCUUUCUAUCCCACCAAUGAUGUUCGCUCUGAAACCAAACGGCACCGGCGGCGGUGUCUUUGUCGACUCCGGUAACCCCACUUCGGUUCUGGUCGAUGGGGCGUACAGGCCUCUGAGAGAGGAGCUCCGGAGGCAGCUACACGGGAGCCUCCUGCCGCCACCAGCCGGCAGUGGGAUCGACUUGUGUGUGGCAGUGGCGCAGGAAAAGGCAGUGCCGUCCAUGGUGUUCCACUUCAGUGGUGGAGCGGACAUGGUGCUGCCGCCAGAGAAUUACUGGGUGCCGCUGGAUGAUUCCAUUUCAUGCAUGGUGAUGCAUAAAUCCAGCAGCGUGAGCAUCAUCGGCAACUUCCAGUUGCAGAACAUGCACUUGCUGUACGACCUUACUAAGGAGGAGCUCUCUUUCCAAACUGCCGACUGCAGCUCACUGUGA